GCCAGUGUAGCUCAAUGGUAGAGCGGCUGCCUUGUAAGCAGUAGGUUGCGGGUUCGAGCCCCGCCGCUGGCUCCA
rnacentral:tRNA from 1 species